rnacentral:ncRNA from 12 species
GGUUUUUGAGGUGGGAAAGGUACCCCACGCGCUACAGUUAGCUGUAGUUACCAGAGAUCAGGAUUGCCGCCCUGCUUUAACC